UAUUUAAGUGGCAAGUCUGAAGAGGAGGAUGUCAAUAGUAUAGUACAGCUAGGCUAGAUGCUAUACAAUUAUAUUGUACGGAGGAUGAACUGGUUGCCUAGACUGACUCUACUGUGUGUACUAUGUACAGGAGCUGGUUGUGAAGCAUCCUCUCAAACCUUAGCUGGUUAUCUUUUUAGUGCUUUCCAAAGUGCUGACAAUUUAACAAUCUCAGCAGCUGCUGUGAGCCCCUCAGGCAAUACCACCACCUACACUGAUGUCGUGUUCCCAAGUGUACAGCUACCAUCUCAGACAUGUGGGGAUCGAAAUGGGCGUUGUGAUGUCAGUGUUUUUACUAUUGAUGGAAGUACUAGAGUUGCCGUUUUAGUGGCUGUUGGAAAUGGAACUGUUGUUGCUUUAUUUGACAGACUGAACAGUGGACUGAUAUUUAUCGACCAGCAUUUUUCUUCUUGCCUGGCAUAACUUGUUCACUUACAACGUUCGUUCAAGAUGACAUAUUUUUGUAUGGUUUAUGCUAUGAAUUCACGAACAAUGAUGGUGUAGUAUUGUUGGAUGUGUAUAGGACGGUGUUGAACUUUGAUCAACUGAAACUCGCAAGAUUUGAUCUCUAUAUUGCUCCAGGAAGUACUAAUUAUGAUUUUUACAUUUCUCGAGGUUUUCUCUCUUCUUGUACUGGGUUCACCAAUGUCUACUGGUUUGGAAAUGCAUUUUUCUACUAUCUCAGAGUUGACAUCAGUGACUCUUCAAUCAACGACCAAGAUAUAAGUGUGAGUGAUCCUGCCAUUGAACAAUGCUUUGAUAAUGGAACCCACCAAGUAGUGAUAUUUGAAGACAGCUCUUUAUUGGCCUACUGUAAUAAUAACAUAACUGUUGAAGUAGAUUUCUGUCGAAGAAGUGAAUUAACCUGUAGUGACAAGAACUAGAUUCUACUGUUCUGGAAGCAGGGACACAUAUCUUGAAGUUAGUGAUAAUUUGAUCAUAAAUUCAUCAGUGGAUUAUGUGAUUCCCUUCCCUUUGGAUUCAUCUGUACCUUAUGUGGGUGACUGUGUGGAAAUAAGAAGACUACUUUUCUUUGUUGGAUCGUCUACUAAUGGCUUCGCUGUGCUUACCAAUGUACUGGGAAACCUUACCACUAUUCUAGCCACAGACGCUCAAGUGAAUCAUCAAGUGAUUGAUAAUCGAUUCAUACUGUACAGUAACUCCACCUCCUCCGCUCUAUUGGACCUGUCUUGCCCUGAUCCAUCCACUCCAAUUCAUGUCAGCAAUGUGUCCUUUGAGUUGUCGGCUUUCUUUCCAAAUUCUGAGUUUUCCUGCUUCAUCGAUCAACCAACUCAACCACCCUCCACUACCGUUACUGUUUCUACGGACACAACUGACUUCACAGAAGCUAAAACUGAAAGCAGUGCUAUUCAAACUCUUUCAGGUGGUAUUAUUGUAGGAAUUGUUUUUGGAACACUUUUGUUUGGAAUUGGAAUCGUUGUUGUGGCCAUACUGGGGUACAGGCAAGGAAGAAAAAAGGAAAGAAAGUUUCCGAUCACUGCAAAUCCUCAACAAGCGUCAACUCCACUCAUUGAACAUCAGUUAAAACCGCCCACUACAGUAGAACAGAAUAUUCCUGCCAGAGCCCACUGAAGAAUUGUACACAGAACCUUCCAUCGAUACACCACCACCCACAGAACCAACACCCGGACCCCCCACUGUGACCGAGCCUACUGGACCACAACCACAGUUAGGGGCUACUCCCAAUACGUUUAUCCCCAACGGAAUCCCAAAACUUGAUCUACAUGUAGCAGGUUUUCAUUUCGAUCAGCUUCAAGGUGCAAUAGAUAACAUUCACUCUAACGAACACGCACUAACUAACCCACCACCCUCACCUGAUAGCCUACCCUCUCCGAAUGUACCACCACCUGUCUUUGCGUCCCGUUGUCCGCCAUAUACAAACUUCGAUGUUUCUCCAACCUCACCUCCUGAUAGCGAUACGAUCACACAAUCAGACUCGGCAAGUCGAGAAUCUCAAGAAGAUGUGAGCUGUAGAGACACGGAAGCUGUUCAACCAACAGACAAGUUAACACCAUCUGAAGUCCCCUCAGAGGAACCUCAGACUCACACAAAUGUCAAUCUAACAUCUACUCCAUCUCCUCCAACAGAGCCAGCUGAACAUUUAAUGGACGCUGUUGCUGUACAAGACAGAGAAGAGAAUAAAGCUACUAUUCUGAAGUCAGACACACUGCUACCAACUAAAAACUGGAGUGAAAAAGUUCGUAAUGUUCAAACUGAAAGAAGCGUUCAAGAAAUACGUUGUAAUGCCGAUCCUCAUCAUCAUGCUUCUCAGUCCUCACUCGCU